CCACAUAUCAUCUUUUAAACACUGGUGAUCUGCGAAUAAACAAAGCUAGUAAACAAUGAAAGGACAAUAUAAAUACAUACAGCAUGUGUACAUGUACAACCAAAUUCCAGGAGAGUAAACUUUGAAUAGCAAGAUGUCAUAUAUCAGUAAAUUUACACAGAUAUUAAAUUUCGCUCUGUUCAUUUUAGACAUAGUGCUAAGCUGAAUUUUUAUAGCACACUGAUCGAUAUCUUGGUAAAAUAAUCAUUUUUUAAACUAGCGGGGCAGUGAAAUCUUUGCUUUGUGCUAAAGUCAACAGUGGCAGAGUUUGAGCUCAAAUAAAUGCCGUGAUACCUCCAGCCUUGUGCAGUAGGCUUGCCGGCGAGGCUCUAAAACUGGGCUCCGCCGCUUUGGCUAAACAGCGGCAACAACUUCAUCAGGUCACUGAGGACUGUCCACGGGGGAGGACAGGAGUGGACAGGAACGGACACAACGCUGAAGCCCGCCCAGAACCAGAACCAGAACCGCCGACGGUCUCCCGGUCGCAGUCGACUGAACCCGGUCGAGCCGGUGGCAAAUAUGAAAUAUCAAAGUGCCCGUCGGCAGCGCUCGCAGGGACAAAAGGAGAACGGCAUUAAUGAUUAACUGCGCUAAAAGCCCCUGCUUUUGUAUUCCCAUGGAGCCCGGGCUAUCUGGCCCGCCAUGUGACAUGCUCUGGCCAUUUUCUAGCAGAUUGGGGAAAGCCAGUGAGCAAACACAGGUGCUGCGGAGUCAGUGGCGGCGCCAGGGGCAACCGCAAACAGGGCCAGCAAUGUGCCAGGCUAAAUGAGCUUUGCGUCGGCCGCCUCUCCGCUCUCCCGGAGGGUCCCACAUUUCAAGUCCAAUGUCUCCUGCCCUAGUUCGCAACUAUUCACACUCCGUUCCAUAGAAAAGAAUGAAGAAGAAGAAAAAAAAAAACUUUACGCACACACACAAACACACACAGACGCACACACACAUGCACACACACACACACACGCAAAAAAAAAAAAAAAAAAAAACGUGGGGGACGCGAGAGGCAGGCAGCGACUUCUUUGAAACGACGGUGUUCGGUGGCCAAGCACAGAGACAGAGCAAACUAAUUAAUGGGGUUCAAGUCUCCGAAUUUGAAAACAAAACAAAUUUAUUUUUCUCAAGUGGGGCUAUUUCUGUGACCUCCCCCCCCCGGUGUCAAAUGCAAUGGCUCUCUCUGUGAUGACCUAGAGGGGAUGGGAUAGACCUAGGCCUAUGCACAAAUGCUUUGAUAAAACAACAACUUUUAAAGUGUGGUCACAUUCCCGAUUUGUAUAUUUUAUUCCCUAUGAAUAUUGAAUAGCAUGAUGUUGAGAAAUAAACUCAAAGAAGUUUUAUGAAUCCAUAAUACAAUUAAAACUGAAAUGUUUAUUCGCUUAACUUUUCUUUUUUUUAUAGGUUUCAUAAAUGCAAGAUCAUAAGCAAUUCACUGACAAACAACAGAAUGAAAGGAACAAACAAAAGAAAAACGUGUUCAAACACAAGCAUCAAUUAACAGACAGCAAUACAAUAGUAAAACAGCAAAGUAAUUGUUAAUUAACAAUCAAGUGUCAAUUACUUGAAAGUUCCAUUAAAAACUGGGAUGCAAGGAAUUCUCCCAAGUGGAUUAAA